rnacentral:rRNA from 1 species
UACGUAGGGUGCAAGCGUUGUCCGGAAUUAUUGGGCGUAAAGAGCUCGUAGGCGGUCUGUCGCGUCUGCUGUGAAAACCUGGGGCUUAACCCCGGGCCUGCAGUGGGUACGGGCAGACUAGAGUGUGGUAGGGGAGACUGGAAUUCCUGGUGUAGCGGUGAAAUGCGCAGAUAUCAGGAGGAACACCGAUGGCGAAGGCAGGUCUCUGGGCCACUACUGACGCUGAGAAGCGAAAGCAUGGGGGAGCGAACAGG